CAGUCAAGAUGGUUGUGAGAAGGAAAAGACAUUCUUCCUCCAAUGACUACAUUAUAAAUGGCAUUAAAACCGUACAAUGAUACAGAGAUGAAGAGUCUAUUAAUCCUUCCUGCAGAAUCAGAGAAAGUUUUACAAUAAACUUGAUAUUUGAAUGUCAUAUUAAAAAAGAAAGAAAGGAUUUUAUCAGUAUGACAUGGUGGGGGUGACAUAUUUUUGCUAAAAGGAAUAGCAAGAAUAAAUGCGUGACAGGUUGAAAUUUCAUGAUGUAUUUAGGGAAUCAUGAAUCUGCUUGUGUGAUUGAAUAAAUGGGCAAAAGCUUGGACACUGUGGGAUAUAAGACUUGAAAGGACAACUGGGGCCAGAAUGUCAAGUAUUUUAGUAUAUUCUAACACCAGAGGAAUGGUUAAAAGUGCAAGAUAAUUUUCCUUGGAAAAUAUACUGGAACUUGUGUAUCAAUAGCUGCCUUCAAAUAGUCAAACUUCUAUAAUAUUAAAAAAUAGUUAUUUUCUGUGUGUCUGUGAAGAGAAAUUUAGAAACUAGUAGAUAAAAAUUGUAGCUACUAGGUGUGGUAGGUUGGAGCACUGAUCUCAAUUUUUUUUUUUUACUUUCUCUUUGCAUUGUAGUUAUGCAUUCAUACCCCUAGCCAUGUGUACAUGCAUCUUUUCCACUUGAAAUACGUAGUACAUUUUCAUGCCACAUUGAUGCUAGGCUGGUGUAUAAUAUGUGUUUUGAAGGAAUAAGGUGGCAGAUCUGAGGAAAGACUCUAACAUAAAUGGUUUUGCUAGCUUUCUGGAACUUCUCUCAACUGCGUUGAGAACUCCUUGAGUAGUUGCUGCUCCGAAGAGGCUGAGAAAACAUACCAAGCAAACCUGAUCUCAGCCCAAAGUAUGAAGACAAACUCAUCGGAAUUCAGCAAAGUCACAGCUCACCUACUUAUCAGAGGAGUAAAAACUGAGAGAACCUUAGUCUCCAAGGCAAUAUCUGUUAAGAGUUGUUCCUCUUGUAACUUGAAGUCUAAGAAAGAGACCUAAAUAUGUAUACCAUAUUUUACCAUGCCCUCCAUCCAUGGUUUCACUUUUUGCAUUUUCUAUUACUUGUGGUCCAAAAAUAUUAAAUGAAAAAUUACAAAAAUAAACAAUUUGUAAGUUUUAAAUUGCAUGCCUAUCUGAGGAUUGUGAUGAAAUCUUGCACCAUCCAAUCUCCAUCCUGCCCAGGACGUGAAUCAUUUCUUUGUCCAGCAUAGCCACACUGCCUACACCGCCCACCCGUCAGUCACAUGGUAAUCUUCUCAUUUAUUAAAUGGAAAAGCAGUGUAUAUAGAGUUUGAUAC
rnacentral:lncRNA from 1 species